rnacentral:rRNA from 1 species
UUGCUAAUGAAAUUCUUAGUGGCGGACGGGUUAGUAACACGUGAGAAUCCUACCCUUAAGUGGGGAAUAGCCUUUCGAAAGGAAGAUUAAUGCCCCAUGGUCUCUACGGAGUAAAGAUGCCUUCGGGUGUCGCUUAAGGAUGGGCUCGCGGCCUAUCAGCUAGUUGGUGAGGUAAGAGCUCACCAAGGCAACGACGGGUAGCUGGUCUGAGAGGACGAUCAGCAACACUGGAACUGAGACACGGUCCAGACACCUACGGGUGGCAGCAGUCGAGAAUCAUUCACAAUGGACGAAAGUCUGAUGGUGCAACGCCGCGUGGAGGAUGACGGCCCUAGGGUUGUAAACUCCUGUCAUCAGGGAGUAAGACUUAUUCGUUAAUAGCGUGUAAGUUUGAUAGUACCUGAAGAGGAAGGGACGGCUAACUUCGUGCCAGCAGCCGCGGUAAUACGAAGGUCCCAAGCGUUGUUCGGAAUAACUGGGCGUAAAGCGUGUGUAGGCCGCGCGGAA